GUUCCAUACAUGUUGUUGCAAAUGACAGGAUCUCAUUCAUUGUUAUGACUGAAUAGCACUCCACUGUGCAUAUGUAGCGCAUUUUCUUAAUCCUUUCAUCAUGUAAA